rnacentral:rRNA from 1 species
GAUGAACGCUGGCGGCGUGCUUAACACAUGCAAGUCGAACGGAAAGGCUCCUGCUUGCAGGGGUACUCGAGUGGCGAACGGGUGAGUAACACGUGGGUGAUCUGCCCUGCACUUCGGGAUAAGCCUGGGAAACUGGGUCUAAUACCGGAUAGGACGAUGGUUUGGAUGCCAUUGUGGAAAGUUUUUCGGUGUGGGAUGAGCUCGCGGCCUAUCAGCUUGUUGGUGGGGUAAUGGCCUACCAAGGCGUCGACGGGUAGCCGGCCUGAGAGGGUGUACGGCCACAUCGGGACUGAGAUACGGCCCAGACUCCUACGGGAGGCAGCAGUGGGGAAUAUUGCACAAUGGGCGCAAGCCUGAUGCAGCGACGCCGCGUGGGGGAUGACGGCCUUCGGGUUGUAAACUCCUUUCGCUAGGGACGAAGCGUUUUGUGACGGUACCUGGAGAAGAAGCACCGGCUAACUACGUG